rnacentral:rRNA from 1 species
AUUUGGGUCUCGUAAUUGGAAUGAGUACAAUUUAAAUCUCUUAACGAGGAACAAUUGGGGGGCAAGUCUGGUGCCAGCAGCCGCGGUAAUUCCAGCUCCAAUAGCGUAUAUUAAAGUUGUUGCAGUUAAAAAGCUCGUAGUUGAACUUCGGGGUCUACCCAUUGGUCAGGCUUAAUUGUCUGCACUGGUGAGAUGGAUCUCUACCUUCUGAGGAACUUUCAUGCCAUUUAUUUGGUGUGGUUGGAAAUCAGGACUGUUACUUUGAAAAAAUUAGAGUGUUUAAAGCAGACUAUCGUCUGAAUACAUUAGCAUGGAAUAAUGAAAUAGGACGGACUGAUUCUAUUUCGUUGGUUUCUAGGAUCACCGUAAUGAUUAAUAGGGAUAGUUGGGGGCAUUAGUAUUCAAUUGUCAGAGGUGAAAUUCUUGGAUUUAUUGAAGACUAACUACUGCGAAAGCAUUUGCCAAGGAUGUUUUCAUUAAUCAAGAACGAAAGUUAGGGGAUCGAAGACGAUCAGAUACCGUCGUAGUCUUAACCAUAAACUAUGCCGACUAGGGAUCGGACGAAGUUAAUUUUAUAAUGACGCGUUCGGCACCUUACGGGAAACCAAAGUGUUUGGGUUCCGGGGGGAGUAUGGUCGCAAGGCUGAAACUUAAAGGAAUUGACGGAAG